GAGGUGGGCACACAGCAGAGUAUAAACCAGAGGAAAGCUUUAUCAUGUUUCAAAGGUGGAUCGAUGGCCAACCUCUGUAAACAGUUUCCUCAUAUUUAAACAACCUCUGUAUAAGCAUAUGAUUUGGUAAUCUACCUGUAACCAUUGAGAUUCUGUUUGUGUGGUCACAACGUGCACACUAAACAUAUUGACAUUAGAGUAUUAUUAUAAGAUGAAAUUUCAGUUUGUUUGAAAAUAAAAUUGUUUUUAAUGCUCACGACAAGCGCAAGGACAAUAAACAAGUAAUUUUGUGAUUCUAUAUUACGAUUUGAAGAUCAGGGACAGUGAUGGAUGAAUCCAAUCUUUGAGACAUGAAAAGUGUGGGUUGCGACUUUUUGUUUUUUUUUUUGUUUUUAGUAUAUAGAUACAAUCAUUGAUCAGUACUUCAAGGCCAUUGACAUCCUGAAACUGAAGAACCAAUGGCUAAAGACUACGUUUCCUAUGUUCUGAAAUCUCUGCUUCUGCUUCUUCAACUUGUCUUGUUGAUUCAUGAUGCUGAUUCUGCCUCUAUCGUCAAGUUUCUUCCUGGUUUUGAAGGCCCUCUUCCCUUUGAACUCGAAACCGGUUACAUUGGUGUUGGUGAAGAGGAGGAAAUGCAAUUGUUCUACUAUUUCAUCAAGUCUGAGAGGAACCCCGAAGAAGACCCUCUUUUUCUCUGGCUAAGUGGAGGACCUGGCUGCUCUUCCAUCUCUGGUCUUCUUUUUGAGAAUGGGCCUUUGACUAUGAAGCUCGAGGAGUACAAUGGAACUCUGCCUUCUUUAGUCUCUACUACAUACUCAUGGACUAAGACUACGAGCAUUAUAUUCUUGGAUCAGCCUGUUGGAACUGGCUUCUCGUACUCAAGAACUCAACUUGUUGAUAAACCGAGUGAUUCAGGAGAGGCCAAACGGGUCCAUGAGUUUCUUCAAAAGUGGCUAGGUAAGCAUGAAGAGUUCAUUUCCAACCCUUUGUAUGUCGGCGGGGAUUCUUAUUCUGGCAAGGUUGUUCCUGCUCUUGUUCAAGAAAUCUCUAAAGAGGAAAAACAUGAUGUAUGUAUGUAUGAUACAGGCAAUUAUCAAUGCUGCAAACCUCCAAUAAAUCUUCAGGGUUAUGUGCUCGGUAACCCGUUAACAGAAUUCGAAACUGAUAUGAACAGCCGCAUUCCAUUUGCUCAUGGGAUGGCACUGAUAUCUGAUGAGCUCUACGAGUCACUGAAGAUAAUCUGCAAAGGAAAGUAUGUAAAUGUUGAUCCAAGUAACACAGAAUGCUUGAAACUCGUUGAAGAAUAUAACAAGUGUACAGAGACAGUAAACCCAUUUCUUAUAUUGGAACCAUUCUAUGAAGCUGAAACUCCAGACUCCUAUAUUUAUAGGUAUCUGCUAGCUACUUACUGGGCCAAUGACGAAAGCGUACGCAAAGCUCUUCAAAUCAAUAAGGAGAGUAUAGGGAGAUGGAUACGAUGUAAUUUGGAUAUUCCAUACACUCAAGACAUUAUAAGUAGUGUACCCUACCAAGUGGAUAACAGCAUCGAUGGCUAUCGUUCUCUCAUCUACAGUGGUGAUCACGAUUUGGGAAUGCCUUACCUUGGGACUCAAGCUUGGAUAAGAUCUCUCAACUAUUCGGUUAUUGAUCAUACUGAUUUUUUUGUUUUUGUUCUUGUUUAUUCGUUUUGAUUAGAGUCACCUCAAAGUUAAACUUGCCUUUUCUUGGCAGAUAUAGAAGAACUUAUGCAAAUAAAAUGACAUUUGCUACUAUCAAAGGAGGUGGACACACUGCAGAGUUUAAACCAGAGGAAAGCUCUGUCAUGUUUCAAAGGUGGAUCAGUGGCCAACCUCUGUAAAUAGUUUCCCCAUAUUUAAACAAGCUCUGUAUAUGCACAUUCUUUGGUAUCUACCUGUAACCAUUGAGGUUCUGUUUGUGCGACCACGACGUGCCACUAAACAUAUUAACAUUACAGUAUUAUUAUAAAUUUAUAAGAUGAAAUUUUAAUCUU